GAUGAACGCUGGCGGCGUGCCUAAUACAUGCAAGUCGAGCGAACAGACGAGGAGCUUGCUCCUCUGACGUUAGCGGCGGACGGGUGAGUAACACGUGGAUAACCUACCUAUAAGACUGGGAUAACUUCGGGAAACCGGAUCUAAUACCGGAUAAUAUAUUGAACCGCAUGGUUCAAUAGUGAAAGACGGUUUUGCUGUCACUUAUACAUGGAUCCGCGCCGCAUUAGCUAGUUGGUAAGGUAACGGCUUACCAAGGCGACGAUGCGUAGCCGACCUGAGAGGGUGAUCGGCCACACUGGAACUGAGACACGGUCCAGACUCCUACGGGAGGCAGCAGUAGGGAAUCUUCCGCAAUGGGCGAAAGCCUGACGGAGCAACGCCGCGUGAGUGAUGAAGGUCUUCGGAUCGUAAAGCUCUGUUAUUAGGGAAGAACAAAUGUGUAAGUAACUAUGCACGUCUUGACGGUACCUAAUCAGAAAGCCACGGCUAACUACGUG
rnacentral:rRNA from 1 species